rnacentral:rRNA from 1 species
GCGUAACGCGUAUGCAACCUACCUUGUACUGGGGAAUAGCCCGUGGAAACAUGGAUUAAUACCCCAUAAUUUUAUCUAAUCACCUGGUUGGAUAAUUAAAGUUUCGACGGUACAAGAUGGGCAUGCGUAUGAUUAGCUAGAUGGUGAGGUAACGGCUCACCGUGGCAACGAUCAUUAGCGGGUCUGAGAGGAUGAUCCGCCACACUGGUACUGAGACACGGACCAG